rnacentral:rRNA from 1 species
AACGAACGCUGGCGGCAUGCCUAACACAUGCAAGUCGAACGAGACCUUCGGGUCUAGUGGCGCACGGGUGCGUAACGCGUGGGAACCUGCCCUUAGGUUCGGAAUAACUCCCCGAAAGGGGUGCUAAUACCGGAUAAUGUCUUCGGACCAAAGAUUUAUCGCCUUUGGAUGGGCCCGCGUUGGAUUAGCUAGUUGGUAGGGUAAAAGCCUACCAAGGCGACGAUCCAUAGCUGGUCUGAGAGGAUGAUCAGCCACACUGGGACUGAGACACGGCCCAGACUCCUACGGGAGGCAGCAGUGGGGAAUAUUGGACAAUGGGCGAAAGCCUGAUCCAGCUAUGCCGCGUGAGUGAUGUAGGCCUUAGGGUUGUAAAGCUCUUUUACCCGGGAUGAUAAUGACAGUACCGGGAGAAUAAGCUCCGGCUAACUCCGUG